UAUUUUUACGCAGGGUGACCAGAUGUCCUGAUAAAAUCAGGACCGUCCCGAUAUUUAGGUAUUUGU